UGUCAAUUAUAUGCCUCACAAAUAACUUUAUAAGUUUGUUAUUAGACUUUUAUUUGUUUAUGCUUUUUUAUUUAGUUUCUUUUUAAUUUCUAUUUUGAAUAUAUUGAUCUCUUCCUUUAUGAGUUUCCUUUGUGAAUUUCUUGCUACAAAUUGGAAGACCCCUCACGCUCCAAGAUAUUUUAUACAAUUUAAUGUUUUCUUCUAGCAUUGUUAGGGUUUUAUUUUUAAUGGUUAAAUUUUGGUUUGUUUUUCCACUGAAAGGAGAGCAUCAGUAAAGAUGGCAAGAUUGAAAUCCAAGCAACAGAAUUUCCACUGAAUAGAAAUUUCUGAGGAAAGUGUAAGGACAGGUGUGAGAAUUCUGGUGGCAAGGAUGAGGAAGCAUCCCCCUUCCCAAACAGGAAAGAAGAGCCAAGAGACCUGAAAAGGAGCUGGAGCCAAGAAGGUGAAAAGGAGCGAGACCACAUUUGGCCUAUCAGAAAUAAGGAAAACUUUUUCUAUCCAUCUUUAAUAUGGGAAGAAUACUUUUAUGUAAUUUACUUGAUAUAAAUUGACAUCAUAGGACAUGGGGAAGAAAGGAUGCUUUGAAG
rnacentral:lncRNA from 1 species